AUUGAACGCUGGCGGCAGGCCUAACCCAUGCAAGUCGAACGAGUGGCGGACGGGUGAGUAAUGUCUGGGAAUCUGCCUGAUAGAGGGGGAUAACUACUGGAAACGGUAGCUAAUACCGCCUACUAUCGGAUGUGCCCAUAUGGGCUUAGCUCGUCGGUGGGGUAAAGGCUCACCUAGGCGACGAUCUCUAGCUGGUCUGAUAGGAUGACCAGCCACACUGGAACUGAGACACGGUCCAGACUCAUACGUGAGGCAGCAGUGGGGAAUAUUGCACAAUGGGCGCAAGCCUGAUGCAGCCAGGCCGCGUGUAUGAAGAAGGCCGUCGGGUUGUAAAGUACUUUCAGCGGGGAGGCGUUACCCGCAGAAGAAGCACCGGCUAACUCCGUGCCAGCAGCCGCGGUAAUUC
rnacentral:rRNA from 1 species